rnacentral:misc_RNA from 1 species
AAGUCGUAACAAGGUUUCCGUAGGUGAACCUGCGGAAGGAUCAUUAAAACGUAUCCAACGUUAACUAAUUGUGAACUCGUUCUCCUUUGGUUUAAGAAUUUGGAGCUAUGGAUUGCUUGUUUGAGAUCUUUCACUAGGUCAGCUUUUCAUAGUCACUGGCACUUUCGGGUGUCGACAAGUUCUUUUAUCAAAGCUAUUCCCCUUUCACUGGCUGUCACUCAGGCUAGGUUGGGGGAGCACCAUACAUAAACCCUUAUCACCCUUUUUUGCUAGUUGACUUUUUUAAUGUUAGUUUUUACGAAAGUAAAGAUUACACGUUUCAUUAUUUGAACGUAAAAUACAACUCUUAGCAAUGGAUAUCUAGGUUCUC